UAGGGAAUCUUCGGCAAUGGACGAAAGUCUGACCGAGCAACGCCGCGUGAGUUAAGAAGGUUUUCGGAUCGUAAAACUCUGUUGUUAGAGAAGAACAAGGACGUUAGUAACUGAACGUCCCCUGACGGUAUCUAACCAGAAAGCCACGGCUAACUACGUGCCAGCAGCCGCGGUAAUACUUAGGUGGCAAGCGUUGUCCGGAUUUAUUGGGCGUAAAGCGCGCGCAGGCGGUUUCUUAAGUCUGAUGUGAAAGCCCCCGGCUCAAGCGGGGAGGGUCAGUGGAAACUGGGAGACGGGAGUGCAGAAGAGGAGAGUGGAAUUCCAUGUGUAGCGGUGAAAUGCGUAGAUAUAUGGAGGAACACCAGUGGCGAAGGCGGAUCGAUGGUCUGUAACUGACGAUGAGGCUCGAAAGCGUGGGGAGCAAACAGG
rnacentral:rRNA from 1 species